rnacentral:lncRNA from 1 species
GACUCUCUCCCUUGUACUUUCUCUCUCUCCCUUUCUACAUCCUAACCACCAUCAUCAUCAUCAGGCCACCACUGCCUAACACCACCGCCCACCCAACACCAUCGACCACCAACACCAUACCAUCACCAUUGAUCUCCAUGGUCCCUCCACCAUUAGAAUCCAACCCCUCACGUUUUUCGAUGGUUGCAAAACUCAGAUCCAAUGAAAGAUCGAAGAGGGAACAUUCUUGUGGUGGUAAACAACGAAACAGAUCUGGAUUGUAACCCUCGUUUUAUUUAACCCACCCCAAAAAAUCACAAAAAAAAAAAAAACGAUUCCGACCACCACCACCGUGACUGUGGUAGAUCUACCCAUCUCGGAUCUGUCAGGUAACAACCAUAGUCGAGUGAUAUUCAUACUCAGAUCUGACGAAUCGAGAUAAAAAUGAAAUCCUGAUGCCACAAGAUUAAAACUUUGGGGUAAACUUCCAUACACCAACAGAUUAAACGGUCAUACGGUGGUAGAAGCGGUGGUGGGUUUGAGGUUGUGGUGGUGAUCGUGUUGUGGCUGUGAUUGGAAAGAGAGUUAGAGCAAUAGAGAGAGAAGCAAGGCUCGCACAUGGUAUUCAUUUUAGGAUUUAGAUAGUAUUAUAAAGAUAAGUUAUACGAUUAUAAGUCAAUUGAUGAGCAUUUAUAAAAUAUACUUUAGGAAUUGUUUUGAGUCCGUUGCACAAUUUGCAAUUGAAGCAAAUAUAGUAAAUUAAAGAAUAUUAUUUUUUUCUCGAACAAGAUCAUGUAAAUAUGUUGGAUGAAAAAGCAAAAUAGUUCGUGGUGUUGGUUGUUGAAGGUUGGAGGUGGUGGUGAUGGUGGGUGGGUGGGAUAA